AAAAGGUGGCUAUACUACCGCUUUUGGAUGGGCCCGCGGCGCAUUAGCUAGUUGGUGGGGUAAAGGCUUACCAAGGCAAUGAUGCGUAGCCGAAUUGAGAGGUUGAUCGGCCACAUUGGGACUGAGACACGGCCCAAACUCCUACGGGAGGCAGCAGUAGGGAAUCUUCCACAAUGGGCGAAAGCCUGAUGGAGCAACGCCGCGUGGGUGAAGAAGGUCUUCGGAUCGUAAAACCCUGUUGUUAGAGAAGAAAGUGCGUGAGAGUAACUGUUCACGUUUCGACGGUAUCUAACCAGAAAGCCACGGCUAACUACGUGCCAGCAGCCGCGGUAAUACGUAGGUGGCAAGCGUUAUCCGGAUUUAUUGGGCGUAAAGGGAACGCAGGCGGUCUUUUAAGUCUGAUGUGAAAGCCUUCGGCUUAACCGGAGUAGUGCAUUGGAAACUGGGAGACUUGAGUGCAGAAGAGGAGAGUGGAACUCCAUGUGUAGCGGUGAAAUGCGUAGAUAUAUGGAAGAACACCAGUGGCGAAAGCGGCUCUCUGGUCUGUAACUGACGCUGAGGUUCGAAAGCGUGGGUAGCAAACAGGAUUAGAUACCCUGGUAGUCCACGCCGUAAACGAUGAAUGCUAAGUGUUGGAGGGUUUCCGCCCUUCA
rnacentral:rRNA from 1 species